GAAAACUCUAAAAGGUUCAUCAUGGCUUGAAACAGUGGAGAAGGCAGGGAAGACCUCUCCCUUACAGCUCUUGGAGGGAGCACAGCCCUGCUGAUCCCUUGAUUUCAGGCAUCUUUUCUCUAGGUAGAAGAAUGCACUGUCGUAAGCCACCGACUUCGUGGUCAUGUGUUUGAUAGGAAGUGAAUCCCAGCAGUGAUCAGCAAAGCAUCUGUACCCAUCCAUCUUCCACUCCUCCUCCUGACCCGGCAGGAGGGAUCAUGAUGGUUACCAGGGAAGAUGGCAAUCCUAGCCCCCAAGCAAGAGUAUUUGUGUCUGAGGAGAGUGAUUCGGAGAAACCCAACAAUGGAAGCUUCAUGAAACCAAAACAUCAGACCUGACAGUGGCUCUUGGGGGAAUUAAAGACUCUUGGAAGCUGCUGCUCUAUGGAAGAGAAAGAAUAGCGUCUCCAAACAUAAAAGGAAAUUGCUCUCCUCAGAAGCAUGCUUUCCUAUAAUCACAUCUUCCCUACUGCUCCAGCAAAUGAAGUUUAAAUAUUUAACAAGAAUGUCAGCCCCG
rnacentral:lncRNA from 1 species